CCUAAGAAGCUGUGUGUGUGUGUGUGUGUGUGUGUGUGUGUGUGUGUGUGUGUGUUUGUUUUUAUUACAUGGUGGGGACCUCAGCAUGAUAGCACACUCACAAAGUGGGGACCAAAAACAUAGUGGGGACCGAUCGCCCGGUCCCCACCAUGUUUUGCCUUUAAAAGACUCAGGGGGCGUUGCUGAUAUGCCUAGUGCAGUUUUUUUCACUGAUCCCCACCUUGACCAUUUACCUGAAUUGAGUGUGUAAGUGUGUGUCGGCGCACUGCUCUAUAGCGGUCCUGUAGUCGGAUGGCGGUACUGCACCCUGACACACACUUACACACUCUGGCUACUGCACAUGCGCAGAUCUCAUAAAUGAAUCCGACUUUAAUCAACUUAAUUAAGAUCUAUCAUCAAAUUAAUCGAAUUUUCGGUCAGAGGCCGGGGUGGAGUGCAUGAGCCGCGGUCAGACAGUCACCAAUCACCGUGCGGCUAAAUGGAUCGACGGAGGAUAAAACCAUUAAAAGAUGCGGAGAAACACAUCACCAGCUCCACUGACAAGACCCAUUCACUGGAAACCGAAUAUAUAGAAGGUUACUAAGUUUUGCAGCAUUGAUGCCGAUCAUGAGGACGAGACCCUCGGCCGGCUGGUGAAUGAUGACCAUCUGCACCCUAACUGCACUGUCAAUAAGAUCGUUGUUCAGAGAAAACCUCAUUUGUGCCUUUUUGCAAUCAGGAAUAUUUUCUUUGGAGAGGAAAUAACGUUUGACUAUGGCGCAUGUGAUUGGCCUUGGAGAAAGGUUUGACAUUUUGAUCACUUAAUACAUUAAUCCUUAAUACAUUCAGCAAAGCUAAGAGUUUUUAAUGUUAAUAUAGAUUAAAGGUAAAUCUGUUCAAAAAUAAAGAGUUUGCAUCAUUUAUAAGAGAUAAUGAAAUCAAUCUCUUAAUAUCUUCUUCUUGUCUUAAUGGGUAAAAAAAAGUUUAAUUAAUUGGGUAAUGCUUUACUUUAAAGGGGGGUUCAUAAGACUGUCAUGAAAGCUUUAUAGUCAUGACAUGACUUAUAUAACAAAGCUGUUUUUAAAUAGUUUUCAUUGAAGGAUGCCCAUAUGACUGCAGAAGAGAACUGCUCUGACAACUCUCUGAUGAGCUUUUAUUGAAGUAUGACCAAAUGACGAGAAGAAGAGAACUGCUCUGCUCCAGUAGGAGACCCACAACCCUCUGAUGAGGUGGGUUUAAAUUUAAUAAUAAUAAUAAUUAUU